rnacentral:lncRNA from 1 species
GACAUAGCACUAUAGAAGAGAGAAUAAAAAGUGAACAAGCUGAGCAGAAAUUGCAAGGAACAGAAUUAAAAGUUAUAAAUGUAGAAGGAAAAUAUGCAGAAGAACAUGCUGAAGAACUUGAGGAAGAACGGCAAAAAUUGUUACAAGAUUUAAGUGGAGAUAAUUCAGGGGGGAAAGAAACGGAAAGCAAUGACAAAACUCACGAAAAUUCGGGCGUUACUGAUAUAUCUGAUACUAUAUAUGAAACGCUUACUGAUGACACUGCUAAAGAGAUAUGAGAUAAAUGAAGAUAUACUAAUUAAGUAAACCAUUAAAUUGAAAGUUUCUGAACUCUUGUCAUCACUCAAGGAAUCUAAUAAAUUAAAAUAUCAACGAUAA